rnacentral:rRNA from 1 species
AUUCCAGCUCCAAUAGCGUAUAUUAAAGUUGUUGCAGUUAAAAAGCUCGUAGUUGAAUUUCUGGUCUCGGACAGCGGUCUGCCUCAAACGAGGUACGCACCACCUGUUCAGGUCCAUCCUCGGAGAAAACAUACCUGUGAUUCAGUUCAUGGGUAUGGGAUCUUCGUCAUUUACUGUGAGCAAAAUAUAGUGUUCAAAGCAGGCUUAUGCCGUUGAAUACAUUAGCAUGGAAUAAUAAAAUAAGACCUUGGUCUAUUUUGUUGGUUUGUACUCCAAGGUAAUGAUUAAUAGGGAUAGUUGGGGGUAUUCGUAUUCAAUUGUCAGAGGUGAAAUUCUUGGGUUUAUGGAAGACGAACUACUGCGAAAGCAUUUACCAAGGAUGUUUUCAUCG